rnacentral:rRNA from 1 species
AGGAUGAACGCUGGCGGCGUGCUAAUACAUGCAAGUCGAACGAGAAGGCGUGUACUCGUAUACGCUGGAGAGUGGCGCACGGGUGAGUAACACAUGGCUGACCUGCCCUUCAGAGGGGGACAACCGCUGGAAACGGUGGCUAAUACCCCGUACGCUCAGAGAGGUUAGAGGCUCUUUGAGGAAAGCCGAGGCGCUGAAGGAGGGAGCUGUGGCCCAUCAGCUAGUUGGUAGGGUAACGGCCUACCAAGGCGAUGACGGGUAGGGGGCCUGAGAGGGUGACCCCCCACACUGGGACUGAGACACGGCCCAGACUCCUACGGGAGGCAGCAGUAAGGGAUAUUGCGACAAUGGGCGAAAGCCUGACGCAGCAACGCCGCGUGCGGGAUGAAGGCCUUCGGGUUGUAAACCGCUUUUCUGUGGGAAGAGGAAGGACGGUACCACAGGAAUAAGUCUCGGCUAACUACGUGCCAGCAGCCGCGGUAAAACGUAGGAGGCGAGCGUUAUCCGGAUUUACUGGGUGUAAAGCGCGUGCAGGCGGGGUCGUAAGUCGUGCGUGAAAGCUCCCGGCUCAACCGGGAGAGGACGUACCGAAACUGCGGUUCUGGAGGCAGGUAGAGGCGUGUGGAAUUCCGGGUGUAGUGGUGAAAAUGCGUAGAAUAUCCGGAGGAAACACCAGUGGCGAAGGCGACACGCUGGGCCUGACCUGACGCUAAGACGCGAAA